UUAUUUAUUUAACUACUUUAAUUUUUUGGUGAGAGUCGCCAAACCUCGCACCAAAACCACAUUUUGGUUAAAUAUAAAUAAAAUCAACAUGCAAUGAGGCUGGGCGUGGUGGCUCACUGUAAUCCCAGCACUUUGGAAGGCCAUGGCGGAUGGAUCACCUGAAGUCAAGAGUUGGAGACCAGACUGACCAACAUGGUGAAACUCCAUCUCUACUAAAUACAAAAAAGUAGCUGCGCAUGGCCGGGCGCAGUGGCUCACGCCUGUAAUCCCAGCACUUUGGGAGGCCGAAGCGGGCAGAUCACGAGGUCAGGAGAUCGAGACCAUCCUGGCUAACACGGUGAAACCCCUUCUCUACUAAAAAUACAAAAAAAUUAUCCAGGCAUGGUGGCGGGCGCCUGUAGUCCCAGCUACUCGGGAGGCUGAGGCAGGAGAAUGGCGUGAACCCGGGAGGCGGAGCUUGCAGUGAGCCAAGAUCACGCCACCGCACUCUAGCCUGGGCAACAGAGCAAGACUCCCUCUCAAAAAAAAAAAGUAGCCGGGUGUGGUGGCGCAUACCUGUAAUCCCAACUACUUGGGAGACUGAGGCAGGAGAAUCACUUGAACCAGGGAGGCGGAGGUUGUAAGUGAGCCAACAUAGCGCCCCUGCACUCCUCCAGCCUGGGCAACAAGAGCAAAACUCCAUCUCAAAAAAAAAAAAAAAAAAAAGGACAGGCGCAGUGGCUCACUACUGUAAUCCCAGCACUUUGGGAGGCCGAGGCAGGCGGAUCAUGAGGUCAGGAGAUUGAGGCCAUCCUGGCCAACAGGGUGAAACCCCGUCUCUACUAAAAAUAC
rnacentral:lncRNA from 10 species